rnacentral:rRNA from 1 species
GACGAACGCUGGCGGCGUGCUUAACACAUGCAAGUUGAACGAGAAUUUUUCGAGUGAUUUCUUCGGAAUGAUCAUGAAAAAGGAUAGUAGCGAACGGGUGAGUAACACGUGAGAAACCUGCCUUUCACAAAGGGAUAGCCUCGGGAAACCGGGAUUAAUACCUUAUGAAACCAAACACUCGCAUGAGAGAUUGGUUAAAGAUUUAUCGGAGUUAGAUGGUCUCGCGUCUGAUUAGCUAGUUGGUGGGAUAAAAGCCUACCAAGGCAACGAUCAGUAGCCGGAUUGAGAGGUUGAACGGCCACUCUGGAACUGAGACACGGUCCAGACUCCUACGGGAGGCAGCAGUGGGGAAUUUUGCACAAUGGAGGAAACUCUGAUGCAGCGACGCCGCGUGAGUGAUGAAGGUCUUCGGAUUGUAAAACUCUGUCCUUAGUGAAGAUAAUGACAGUAACUAAGAAGCAAGCCCUGGCUAAAUACGUG